GAUGAACGCUAGCGGCAGGCCUAAUACAUGCAAGGCGAACGACAUUUUCCAGCUUGCUGGGAGAGAAAUUGGCGCACGGGUGCGUAACGCGUAUGCAACCUACCUUUAUCAGGGAGCUAGCCCGGAGAAAUCCGGAGUAAUACCGCAUAAAAUCAAAGAACGGCAUCGUGCCAUGGUCAAACAUUUAUGGGAUAAAGAUGGGCAUGCAUGUCAUUAGCUAGUUGGCGGGGGAACGGCCCACCAAGGCGACGAUGACUAGGGCGUCGGAGAGGAUGGCCCCCCACCCUGGUACUGAGACCCGGACCAGACUCCUACGGGAGGCAGCAGUAAGGAAUAUUGGUCAAUGGGGGCAACUCUGAACCCGCCAUGCCGCGUGCAGGAAGACUGCCCUAUGGGUUGUAAACUGCUUUUCUCCGGGAAUAAACCUCCGAUCGUGAUCGGAGCUGAAUGUACCGGAAGAAUAAGGAUCGGCUAACUCCGUGCCAGCAGCCGCAGUAA
rnacentral:rRNA from 1 species